rnacentral:snoRNA from 1 species
UUUAUUACUUGAACAAGAAUAGUUCUAUAGGCUCGAACCACCUUAUCCUUGAGUUCUAAGGAGACAUAAAAUCUAGUUGAACCAUGGUAGGCAUAUGAGACUAGAUUGUGAUUAAUAAUCACCAUUGCCCACCAGAUGAUGGAGUCGUAGAGAAUCGUUCAGAGCCUGGUCCAUCGGGUUGUGAUGGUCUUAUGGUUGUCUGAUAGACU